AUCAACACUGUCACCAGAGAGGUACAUUUGUUACAUCCAUAAACAUACCCGGACACAUCAUUAUCAGUUUACUUCUCCAUUGUGGUUGGGGUGCUGUUCCCAAUGGCGGUCGUUUUUGUGGUGGUCGCUAUAGUAAUCCGGCACCAGAGCUCCAGAGAAAAGCAGAAGAAAGAUCAGAGGCCACUAUCUACCACUGGCACCAGGCCACACAAACAGAAGAGGAAACCCCAGAUGGUAAAGGCUGUUCUACCCCAAGAGGUGAACUACAUAGUCUGGGCUGUGAUUACCAUGGCCCCACUUUGCGUUUCUCUCACACUCUUAUCCCGACUACCUAUCUAUCAUUUCUACCCAGCAGCGUUUUGCAAUUACACAUUCAGAAAUGUCUCCUUUGCCUUUUGUUAAACGCAAAAGAGUCCCUAAAAUGCUGAGGCUACUUUGCCGGGGUUCAUGAAAUGC
rnacentral:sRNA from 1 species